rnacentral:rRNA from 2 species
CCGUAGGUGAACCUGCGGAGGGAUCA